rnacentral:rRNA from 1 species
AUCGGCCUACGGGAGGCAGCAGUGAGGAAUAUUGGUCAAUGGACGCAAGUCUGAACCAGCCAUGCCGCGUGCAGGAAGACGGCUCUAUGAGUUGUAAACUGCUUUUGUACGAGGGUAAAUGCAGGUACGUGUAUCUGUUUGAAAGUAUCGUACGAAUAAGGAUCGGCUAACUCCGUGCCAGCAGCCGCGGUAAUACGGAGGAUCCAAGCGUUAUCCGGAUUUAUUGGGUUUAAAGGGUGCGCAGGCGGCACGGCAAGCCGGCGGUCAAAUCGCGGGGCUCAACCCCGCCCAGCCGUCGGAACUGC